rnacentral:rRNA from 1 species
UACGUAGGGUGCGAGCGUUGUCCGGAAUUACUGGGCGUAAAGAGCUCGUAGGUGGUUUGUCGCGUUGUUCGUGAAAACUCACAGCUUAACUGUGGGCGUGCGGGCGAUACGGGCAGACUGGAGUACUGCAGGGGAGACUGGAAUUCCUGGUGUAGCGGUGGAAUGCGCAGAUAUCAGGAGGAACACCGGUGGCGAAGGCGGGUCUCUGGGCAGUAACUGACGCUGAGGAGCGAAAGCGUGGGGAGCGAAC